UUUAAGGUUUCCCAUCCCUUUGAAUUGAUUGGGAUGGAUCUCAUUGGCAAACUUGCCGAAACCAAAUCCGGAAACAAAUAUAUUUGUGUCAUGAUUGACUAUUUCUCAAAGUGGCCACAAGCAUAUCCACUAAAAAAUAAAUCGGCACCGGAAGUCACAGAAUGCAUUAUUAAGUUUGUGCAUCAGUUUGAGGCCCCCAAAAGGAUUUUGACGGACCAAGGAAAAGAAUUUGUAAAUUCCAUCAACCAAGAAGUGUGCAAACUUCUUAAUAUCAAACGAAGUCUGUGUUCCCCAUAUCACCCCCAAACUAACGGGUUGGUUGAAAAAAUGAAUGGGACCAUUCAAAGAGCUCUGAGUAAGGUUGUGGAUGGCCAUCCUCACACCUGGGAUGAAUAUUUGGAUGCUGUGAUGUUUGGGAUACGUACAAAAAAACAAAUAACGACACAGCAUUCACGAUACUUCCUGAUGUUCGGAAGAGAGGCCCGCUAUCCCUUAGAGGUCCCUGAACAUUACAUGGUAGGGUUAUGGUCAAUCUUUCCAUUUCAUGUAUUGAAUAAGAUAGGUACUUUUGAACCUACAUAAGACGAUCAAUAAAAACCACAGACAACAUGUCAGUUUUAUGACCAAGCUUUUGCAAAAGGAGAAUUCACAGCAAACUGCUCCUCCAAGCCAUUCACUGAGCAUUCUGCCCUCCCUCAAAUAGAGCUGGCCUUUUAUUUUGGAAAAGGAAAGAACAAAAAAGAUAAACAGAAGAGACAGAACGCAA